CUACUCACCUGGCAAGGGAGACACCACAAUCAAGAAGGUGACUUUCCCGGCUUGGAACUUCCCUAACACUCUGGAUGUGCUAACCCCUUUGAUUUCCCCAGCUGAAGAAAACUUAACUGCACACUUCUGCCAUGGGAAAACUGUGGUGAAGAAGUUGAAAAUGAUGUUUUUUCUU
ensembl:snRNA U1 U1 spliceosomal RNA